rnacentral:lncRNA from 1 species
GCAUUACCACCGACCAGUCCUCAGCCGGCAACAUGAAGCUGGGUGGCCUCUGCCUCCUGCUCCUCCUCGCCGUCCUUCUCACCCUCAAUGCAGAGCUCCAGGCAGUUGAUGUAGGUAUCUGUGUGACGGAGUGCAAGGUAGACCAGGACUGUGGGGCAGGAAGACGAUGCACCAGCAAUGGAUGUGGCCGGGUCUGCUCCCCAGUCCGGCGAAGAGAGGCCUGCGAGCACCAGUGCAGAGAAGACAGGGACUGUGGGAGUGGACAUCAGUGCGUGAGGAAGGGCUGUGGGCACGUCUGCGCCCCCGUCCAUCAAGUCGAUGUAGGUAUCUGUGUGACGGAGUGCAAGGUAGACCAGGACUGUGGGGAAGGAAGACGAUGCACCAGCAAUGGGUGUGGCCGUGUCUGCUCCCCAGUCCAGCAAAAAGAGGCCUGCGAGCACCAAUGCAGAGAAGACAAGGACUGUGGGAGUGGACAUCAGUGCGUGAGGAAGGGCUGUGGGCACGUCUGCUCCCCCAUCCCUCAAGUAGGUAUCUGUGUGACGGAGUGCAAUGUAGACCAGGACUGUGGGGCAGGAAGACGAUGCACCAGCAAUGGAUGUGGCCGUGUCUGCUCCCCACCCCAGGGAGGAGGACUCUGUGUGGACCGCUGCCGAGGAAACUGGGACUGUGGGGCCGGAGAAGAAUGUAUCAGGAAGGGAUGUGGACGGGUCUGCUCUCCAGCCCAGGAGCCAGUGGUAGGUAUCUGUGUGGAUCAGUGCCAAAGACACUGGGAAUGUGGUCCACGGAUGCGGUGUGUCUCCACUGGAUGUGGCCACAUCUGCUCACCAGCCCAAGACCAAGGUAAGAGGUGCAAGCCUUGCCUUCCAAGCCCCUGACUGACUGAAUGCUUGGCUCUGUGAGACAACAGCCAUCAGGGCCAGCUGCACAGAGCAAAAAGAGGUGGCAGUUGCCAUGGGGCCACUACUGGCCUCUGUGAGAAUGAGAAAAGAUGCCCCUUGUUCCAGGUCUAGAAGACCAUGAAGACAGAUGAAUAAUAUCUUGCUUUUGAAGUAUUUGUAAACGUAAAAAAGCUGGUGAUGCUCUUAAAAAUGAAAUAACAUUAAGGUACCAAAUGAUUCUUCAACUCAGGCUGAAAAGAACCCAUUUAUGGAUAAGUUCGCUAGUAUCUCAAACCCAAAUGAAUGCCCAUGCUGGUGUGAGCCACACAGGUCCAUUCAUUCAGACCACCAAUAUGUAAGCCUGCCCAGGCUGAUUCUUGCCAGCAGUGGCUGGCCAGUGCUAUUUCCCCACAGAACCUUCAAUUCCAUUUCUUUCUUGACGGAAAGGCCUUAUCAGCCACCCUCCAUCUCCUCAGCUUCUCUCUCUCUCCAUCAGUUUCUUUGUCUCUUGCUACAAACAUUGGAUUGACUAGAAAAAAACACUUUCUUGACUAUAUGAAACAUCAUCUUUCCAAUUUCCUCUUUUCCAUUCACCACCACCAUCCUCAAAGGAGCAAUCUUAACUCUCUGCCCUUUCUUCCCCAUAAGUCACUCCUCCAGCCCUUGCAGACUGACGAUAGUCUCCAUUGCUGCCCCCAUCCCUCGCCUGGACCUUCUGGACAAAUCUCUUGACUCUCUGCAGUAGCCAGAGUCUUUAACCUCUGCAGCACUUGACACUAUUGGCCCCCCCAUCAACCCUCCAACUUUCUUCCCUCUUGGGCUCUCUUCACUGUCUCUUCGUCUCCUCCCAAGAUAUCACUGGAUUCCACUCUUACUCCUCUCUCUUCUGUGUUCCUCCCCCUACAAUUAAUGAACCGGUUGCCAAAUACCACUCCUUCUUUGCAAUUGUUUCUUGCACACGUGCCUUCUUCUCCAACCUCCAUUGCCACACAUUUCC